CUCGUAGGCGGCCAACUAAGUCGGACGUGAAAUCCCUCGGCUUAACCGGGGAACUGCGUCUGAUACUGGGUGGCUUGAGUUUGGGAGAGGGAUGCGGAAUUCCAGGUGUAGCGGUGAAAUGCGUAGAUAUCUGGAGGAACACCGGUGGCGAAGGCGGCAUCCUGGACCAACACUGACGCUGAGGAGUGAAAGCCAGGGGAGCAAACG
rnacentral:rRNA from 1 species